rnacentral:lncRNA from 1 species
UUUAAGUUAAACCGAGCUGAGCUUGGACAAGCUAAGCUUAGCUAACUAAACAAGCUAAACUUGAGUUGGCUAUAAAUAGCUUUCUCAUUUGAUAGCCCUAGAUGGAGAGGUACAGAUCAGAGAAUAGGUCUUUUGGAGGAGUAAAAUAUCUUGACUAUUUAUAGAAAUAUGUAAUGUGUAAUAUAUUAUAAUAUAUCCAUUUGGUAACAUAUUUAGUACUUUCAUAGUCAAGUUGGACUUGGGUCAAGCAAGUUCCAUAUGAUUUUUCAAUU